GGUUGCGGCCAUAUCACGUUGACAGCACGCCAUCCCGUCCGAUCUGGCAAGUUUGGUAACGUUGGGCAUGGUUCGGCUUGAUGCAUUUA
rnacentral:rRNA from 1 species